CAUCUGGGGAAUGGCUUGGCUCGAGUGCCGAUGAAGGUCGUGACAAGCUGCGAUAAGCUACGGGGAGACGCAUGAAUGUCUGCGAUCCGUAGAUUGCCUAAUAGGACCUCCUGACUCUAGCAGUCAAUCGCAUUAGCGAUAGGGAACCCCCUGAAUUGAAGCAUCUUAGUAGGGGGAGGAAAAGAAAUCAAAAGAGAUUCCGUGAGUAGUGGCGAACGAAAACGGAACAGAGCAAACCGAAUCCGGAAUGGAAACUGAAGGAAAUGUGGUGUGUUCGUCUGUAGCCUAAGUUCGUGAAGGAGAAGUCGCCUGGAAUGGCGCAGCCAGAGAGGGUGAAAGUCCCGUAUCCGUAACGAAUAUGGCCAAGUGACGCAACCAGAGUAGCGUGCGUUGGAUAUCGCGCGUGAAUGUGGGACGCAGAAAGUUCCAACUCUAAAUACAACUCGAGACCGAUAGUUUACAAGUAACGUGAGUGAAAGCUGAAAAGUAUCCUUAGCGGGAUGUGAAAAGAACCUGAAACCAGAUGGGUACAGGCUGAUAGGGCGUGAAAGCGAAGAUAUGAGCAGCGUCCUAUCGUGCGUUUAGAAAAAUGCCCCUGGGAGUCUUGAUCAUUGGCGAGGUUAAGUGGUUGAUCCACGAAGCCGUAGGGAAACCGACAAGUCCGCAGCAGUUUACUGUGAGGGACGAAGUGUGCUCGCUUGGAGUCAAUGGUGGAGGACCUGAAGCCUGUCGAUCUAUGCCUGGCCAGACUGAAGCCCGGUGAAAACUGGGUGGAGGGUCGAACCGUUGCUGAUCUGCAAAUCGCUCGGACGAGUUGGGUAUAGGGGUGAAAGUCCAAUCGAGAUAGGCAAUAGCAGGUUCCGCGUGAAA
rnacentral:rRNA from 1 species